rnacentral:rRNA from 1 species
UACGGAGGGUGCGAGCGUUGUCCGGAAUCAUUGGGCGUAAAGGGCGCGUAGGUGGCCCAGUAAGCGUGCGGUGAAAGCUCGGGGCUCAACCCCGGGUCGGCCGUGCGAACUGCUGGGCUUGAGCACUGUAGAGGCAGGCGGAAUUCCGGGUGUAGCGGUGGAAUGCGUAGAGAUGUGGAGGAACACCGAUGGCGAAAGCGGCGUGCUGGACACCUUCUGACGCUGAGGCGCGAAAGCGUGGGGAGCGAACAGG